rnacentral:tRNA from 1 species
GCGGGAUAGCUCAGUUGGUUAGAGCGUCGGAUUCAUAAUCCGGAGGUCGGGGGAUCGUAGCCCCC